rnacentral:rRNA from 1 species
GAUGAACGCUGGCGGCGGGCCUAAUACAUGCAAGUCGAGCGAACAGACGAGGAGCUUGCUCCUCUGACGGUAGCGGCGGACGGGUGAGGAACACGGGGAUAACCUAGCUAUAAGACUGGGAUAACUUCGGGAAACCGGAGCUAAGACCGGAUAAUAUAUUGAACCGCAUGGGUCAAUAGUGAAAGACGGUUUUGCGGUCACUUAUAGAUGGAUCCGCCCCGAAUUAGCUAGUUGGUAAGGUAACGGCUUAGCAAGGCAACGAUGCGGACCCGACCCCAGAGCGUCGUCGGCCACCCUGGAACAGAGACACGGUACCGACUCCUACAGGGAGCAGCAGUAGAGAAUCUUCCGCGAUGCGGGAAUGCCUGACGGUGCAAAGCCGCGUGAGUGCUGAAGGUCUUAGGCUCGUAAAACUCUGUAAUUAGGGGAGUAGAAAUGUGUUAGCAACUAUGAACGUCUUGACGGUACCUGCACAGGAAGCCACGGCUAACUCCGUG